GCGCUCACUUCGGCAGCACAUACACUACAAUUGGAGAUACAGAGAAGAAUAGAAUGGCCCCCGAGCAAGGAUGACACCCAAAUUCGUGAAGCAUUACAUAUUUUU
ensembl:snRNA U6 U6 spliceosomal RNA